CCUACGGGUGGCAGCAGUGGGGAAUAUUGCACAAUGGGGGGAACCCUGAUGCAGCGACGCCGCGUGGGUGAGGAAGUACUUCGGUAUGUAAAGCCCUAUCAGCAGGGAAGAAAAUGACGGUACCUGACUAAGAAGCCCCGGCUAACUACGUGCCAGCAGCCGCGGGAAUACGCAGGGGGCCAGCGUUAUCCGGAUUUACUGGGUGUAAAGGGGGCGUAGUGGGCGUGCCAAGUCUGGUGUGAAAGGCCGGGGCUCAACCCCCGGACUGCAUUGGAAACUGGCAUGCUGGAGUGCAGGAGAGGCAAGCGGAAUUCGUAGUGUAGCGGUGAAAUGCGUAGAUAUUAGGAGGAACUCCGGUGGCGAAGGCAGCUUGCUGGACUGUAACUGACGUUGAUGCUCGAAAGCGUGGGGAGCAAACAGGAUUAGAUACCCGGGUAGUC
rnacentral:rRNA from 1 species